GUUCUUGCUCAACAACUAUUUAAAUUGGGAUUCCCUGAAAGCAGAGCCUGAGACAAAGAUUUGGAUACAAGUAGUUUAUUUGGGAGGUGAUUCCAGGGAGCAUAAACAAGGGUGUGGUCAAAUGAAAUAGAACAGGGAGGAAAGCCAAAAAGUACCUAAUGAGUGGGGGUACACUCAUAGACAACUGAGGCUCCAACCUACUGAAACCUCUGAGAGCCCCACAUCAGAAUUUUCCUCUCAGGUGGCAGGAGACCAAGAGUAGGUAUAUAUCCACCAACCCCAGGUCCUUGUUGCUUGAGGGUUGCUUCUGUGGUAUUGAUUCCACCUGUUGUACUAUGAUCCUUCCACGUGUGCUUUAAUCCCCAGCUCCUCAUUUCUUCUCUAGAGCUAGGUUGAUUACCUUCCUCUUUUUCACUAUUGACUUCACCCUUUCCUUCCACAGUUGUUUCCCCUUUUUACUCUAUGAACAAGCCCAAGUCUAUUAAACCCUAGAAAAUUAAAAUCUCUCUUACUCCUGCCUCUAGUAACUUUCCUAUUUUUCUCUCCAUUUCAACUAUGCUUAUUUUUUAAGAAGACAGUCCACACUCACUGAUUCCACGGUCUCUCUUUCCAUGAACUCCUCAAUUAAAGCCAGUGACUUCUGACUCCUUUACUGCAAUUGCGGCUGCUUACAAGAUGCCACAACACUCCUCAUGGCAGUUUCUCGCUGAAUUCUCAGGCUGCUCCUUCUUCCUCAAAAGUUCUUCUUCCACAGGCUUUUAUAAAACCCAUCCCUCUUAGUUCUCUGGGCAUCCUCCAAGUUUUCCAUCUUUCCUUUAUGGAGUAUUCUUUCCUUUUUGGUCCAUUGAAUGUUAGUGUUUAACAACUCCCAAAUAUUUCAUUCCAGCUAUUACUUCUCUCUGUAACUCCAGAAGUGUUUGUCCAGUAGCCUGUUAGCUCAGACUAAAUUUAUUAUAGUCUCUUCUCUUCCUCUUCCCUCCCCUUGGGAAGAAAGGCUUGCCUUCGAAAGAAGAUAGUGAGUUGGCAAAACCAGCAUUUACUCACUUCAUUUACCCACUUCAAAAUCUUGGGAUUAUCAGAGAACAUUCCUCCUCCUCAUCCUGCAUUUCCAGUUAGUCAAUAAGUUCUGCUGAUUCUACCUUCUAAAUGGUAAAUUCUCUCCAUCAGCGCCAUUGCUGCUGUCACCUUAAUUCAUGUGUUCAUCACCUUGGCAUAAUCUACUGGUAUCUCUUAGUUGAUCAAUCUGCUCCCAGUUUCUUCCUCAUGCAGACCAUCUGCUACAGAGUAUAAAACAUUAUCUUGAUGCAAAAAAAGACCACAUUACUUCUCUACUUAAAAAGGCUUAGAAGUUCUCCAUCAAGUCAACAAUCAACAAGCUAAAAUCUGAUUUCUUUUAUGUGGUGAUCUAGCUAGUCCCAGUGUCAGUAUCCAGAAGCCGCUCAGGUGGUCCCAAUGGCUAAAGCCAUCAUGAGCCAGCCAACCUGGCAUGUGUGGGUGCUUUGAAAUCAAUGGUUAAAAUCUGAGUGUGGGAAUGGAUCCUGAGACCUUGUAGCCCUAAGUCAGUAUUGGCACAGAGCCUUCUCUGUAAACUUAAAUUAAGUGUCAACAUUUAGAAGUCACUUACUAUGAGCCAGGUACUCUCUGAACACUUCCUAUGUACUAAUUCAUGUAAUCUCCAGAGUAGCCCUUUGAGAUAUGUAUUAUUAUUUUUAAUUCCCAUUUUCCCAGUGAGGUGACUGAGACAUAAAGAGAGCAAGCAACUUGCUUAACAUCAUAUAUGCCACGAUUUGACUUGAAGUAGACUGUUCUAGAAGCAGGGUCUUAUCCAUUUGCUAUGGGCUUUGUUAGCUUUACACAGAGGCUGUGGGGUUCCCAGGCUUAGAACAUAAUUCCAGCCUGUGCAGGGAUCUAGAUGAAUCAGAGGUGAAGAGUGGAAGAAAGAAGCAGAGUGGAAGCCCAAGCCACUGAUGGCAAUCUGAACUUGGAGCGUAACAUCACCAGGAGAAUCUUUAUCUCCACAUCUUCCCAAUCCUCUAUAGUUCUGUCAUCCAACACACACACAGAUACAGACAUACACACGCACACAUAGACACACACACAAUCCAUGAGAAGCUUUCACCAGAUCAGAAGUGGAAUUAUUGCUGCAGAAGGUAAUGAUGGAUGGCCCCAGACCACAUGAGAAUGUUUUUAAAAAUGACAAAAUAUUGGGAAUAUAACAAACAAGCAAAAAAAUGGGACCCAUCUAGAGAGCCACAUGUGGUCUCUAAUUCCUCCCUGCACUGUGGGUUUGGAAUGAACACUGGCCCCUAAGAACCGAGUUAGCCAUGCCCUGUUCUUCUCUUGAAUAUAAUGGGAGGGGAUGUCAGGGAAAUGGAGAUGUCUCUUCUCACAAUAUCUGCUAAUCAGGAUUGUUCAGGGCCUUGUGCAAUUAAUUUUAGCUUUCAAAAAAGAAAUAAUUUCUCAGAACUCCAUGGUGAGGAAAUAGGUCAUACUCAUUAGCAUAGUCAUAGAGGAAGAACAGUGUUUAAUAAUAGGCCUGGCUGAAAUAGGCUAGCAGUGAAACUAGAAGGGCAAAAUUAUUCUGUUAAUGAAGAAUUAAUGAAGAUUUUCGAGUUUCCUUAGGUAACCCAAGAAGAAAGGUGUGAAAAAGGAAGGAGUGAAUGAGAUAAGAAUGGGGAGGAGGAUGUGAGGAAGGAAUACAUCAAGAUGCCAGGGAGCUGAGCAAGAGGCAGCCAGGGAGAAGUUCUGGGCUAUGGCCAAGGAUCUUUAAAGAGCAAGGAUCUUUAAAUAGUCAGUUUUAAGAUGUUUGGUGCAGCCUAAAUUCCUCUUCCUCUUCCCCUGCCUGAAUCUUCCGUAAGAAUCUACUACACAGAGAUGCCUUGUAUCUGCAGCAUUUUGAGAAGAGGGAAAGAGGCUGUUGCUUUGGGAAUGAUGCAGAGUGGAGAAAAAGAACAGCCAAAAGAGGCUAGACUUGAGAGAAAUUACAGUAAUUCAGUAAAAGCAGGAAAUAAUAGAAAAACAUUGACUCCAAAGAUCCUGGAAGGUGCCAGCAAGUGAGGUUAGGUUUCCCACUGUAGAUGUAAUGGAAACAUGGUUUCCCCACCAACUUCGAGGCUUGAGAGCAUUCAGGUAACUGAUACUUGUUCUAUGUUAGUAAAGCGGAUAUGUGUCUUUUGACAAUUUACAUGUGAAAUAACUGCAGCUGUUUUCUAAUUGAAUUUCAAGGCUCCAUUCCAUGGGCUCAGAGAAAUCUGAUUCUCUACUGCUUUCAGCAUGAUAUCAGACAAUUUAGAGUUUCUCUCCAGUCUGGGGGUUGCAUAUGAUUUCUGGGGUUUGGGGUGGUGUGAAGUUGGUAUAAUAUCACUACAACUGUCUAUUCUUGCUCUAGUCACUGGGACCUCAGCCUGAGGGACUACACAGAUUGCUGCCGCAAAUCCCCCCGCUUCCUUUUCAGCAAUGCAAGGGAAAACAUCACAUUCUUUUGAUUUCCCACCAAUUCAUCCUCUUUCCACCCCGGCAAAUUGUGGGAGUGGGAGCUUCUCUGAUUUUAAUCUUUUUUCAUCUGUUGUUUCUAAUAUUGCUGGCUGUGACAAUCCGCAGAGGAAAUGCAUGCCUACCUCUAGUCUGAAUGGGGAAAAACAAAAUCCAGUAUAUAAGAAAAUAUAUGGUACAGUGGCUGUGCAUGGUGGCUCAUGCCUGUAAUCUCAGCGCUUUGGGAGGCCAAGGUGGGUGGAUCACAAGGUCAAGAUAUCGAGACAAUCAUGGCCAACAUAGUGAAACCCUGUCUCUACUAAAAAUACAAAAAUUAGCUGGGCGUGGUGGUGCAUGCCUGUAGUCCCAGCUACUUGGGAGGCUGAGGCAGGAGAAUCACUUGGAUCUGGGAGGUGGAGGUUGCAGUGAGCCAUGAUUGUGCCAUUGCACUCCAGCCUGGUGACAAAGUGAGACUUUGUCUCAAAAAAAAAAAAAAAAAGAAAGAAAAUAUAUGGUACAAACUAAUACCUACAAAUAUCAUUCGGUUACAUUGGCUUUAUACCCUCUCUUUCUAUUAGUUCAAAAUAGUACUCAUAAAAUAACCAUCCUGUAAAGUAAUGAAACUGAAUUUUCUUCCAUUGCUAAUUUCUCCUCUGACCUAACAUUAAUUAUCUAAGAACUUAAGUGUUUAGUGCUCUACAUCAGAGGUCAACAAACUAUUGUAUCGCCCACAGUCUAAACUCGACCCAUGGUCCAUUUUUAUAUAUUUAAGUAGUUGAAAAAAAUCACAAAUAGAUCGAUAUCCUGUGACCUGUGAAAAUUAUAUGAAAUCUAAAUUUCAGUGUCUACAAAUAAAGUUUUAUUGGAAUAUAGGCAUGCUCAUUUGUUUAUAUACUGUCUGUAGCUGCUUUCAUUCUAUAACCACAGAGUUGAGAAGUUGCAACAGAAUGUAUAGCAUACAAUGCUGAAAAUAUUUAAUAUCUGGUCUUUUACAGAAAAAGUUUGGUCAACCUUGUAGGGGAACCAGCCCGCUAUACCACCCGCGGGUUCUCCCCUUCCCAGUGGAGACGAGGGAAUGAGAAAAGAAAUAAAGACAAACACACAAAGUUCAAGAGUUAACAAAAGUGGGUCCAGGGGUCCAUCGCAAUGUGGAAACUGCGACAGCCCUGAGCUCUGGAUUCCACUGAUAUUUACUGAAUAAUCCUUAAAGUCCAACUAAUUGGUUAACAGAACAGGACGUGAAAGCAGACAGCCCGUCAGACCACAGGCCUGUGCAUCAAAGGAGCGGUCCACUCCAAGCACCAUCAGCAGGGCAGCAGAGCUCUCUGCCUCUGGGAACGAGCGAGAGAUAGAAGACUUUCCCCUUAUCCUCAGAGGACUUCUCCUCUUUUACAAGCAACCUCCUGCUGUUCCCUUCUGGGGAAUGGAGCAGGGGUCGCUUCCCUUCCCACAAGACCUUUGUUCAGGGACUCAAGUGGGAGGUUGAGCAAUAAGCAAGCUUUCUUGCUUAGAGGCUCCGCACACUUCCUGUGGUUGUUUGUUCCACCCUGCAGUUAGGCAAGCAAGCUCACCGCCUGAUUCUUAUAUUGUCGGACUAAGCAGAAGCUAUUCUUAUGAUUCAUGACUAUAUUAAUAAAGCACUAUUCUAAAGCAUAUUUUGUUAAUCCUUAAACAGGCACACCAUAGGCCAGCCCUCAACCACCUCGGCCCACAUCCAAGCCCCUGUUUUGACCCACAUUUCCCCCAUUUUUUAAAUUUAAAACAGCCAUCUCAAUCAUAACUUGCUUGUGGUUUUGAUUUUCUUUCAGGAGCUGCCUUCCGCAUCUGCAGACUAAAAACAGACAACAUAAGCAGACACAAAUUAAAACAAAAUUAGCAAUGGCAGAGCUUCCCAGAGUUUUAAUCCAUUUGAUAGAAUUGAGCUCCGAGAGCCUAUCUGCAGCUCCAGCAAGCAUUUCUGCUCCAGGCAACAAAUUUAAGUGAGCCUGCGAUGCUGCAAAAAUCUGUUCUUUUAAUUUAGUUAUAUCCAGGGUUAGAUUAUCUUCUCUUCCUUGUAAGUGGCAUCAGACCUUUUCCCACUGAUGUUCAGUAACAUUAUAAGAAUAAGGAGUAAUACAAAAAGCAGAUGUAUUCCAAUCACAUUGCAUUUGCAUACGAUGCUCUAAAUGCAUAAAACGAUCUCUUAUCCAGGUGACUGUUUGCCUCAAAUCAUUAAUUUGAUUGGCCAACUUCUGAUCAAUUUUUGCCUGAGAAUUCCAUAAUCUGGUGGAAUUUUUCUGCCAGGCAUUAACAUAAUGAGCAGUUUGAAUGGAAGAAUGCAAGGCAACACCUGCCACAGCCGCGGUGGUGGUGACAGCAAUCAAGCCCAUAAUCACAGCAAUUAAAGUAAAAAUAAAUCUUAUUGUACGAUUAAGAAUCCCUUUUAAAACUCCAGUUAUUACAUGAAUAGAGGGAAAAGUCUCCCAAGGCCUAUUAAGAGUAACUGGAAUCCAAACGCCCUCUCGUGCUCGGACCAGCAAAAUGCUAUUCCUCAUAUCAAAAGUAGAAUGAAUACAAGUAAACAGAUGGCAAUUGUCACAAGUAAUGGUUUGAGAGUCAGGUAAAAUGAUAAGUUUUCCAACAACUAACAUGUAAGGAGGUUUAACACAACUUUGAAGAGAAAUAGACUGAUUAGACUGAAGAAGCAUGGUAAACAGUAGCUUAUUACCUCUUGUUCCCCAUGAUGCUUCCCCUUUCCACACUCUCAUUCCGGAGGUAGCCAUAAGCAACUUCCACAAUUCUGGAUGUUCCAGACCCAUGACUGGACUAAUUAUCUUUGGCCAGGGAGGAGCAGUACCUUUAUCUUCCCAUUUCAAUGGAUAUAGUGAUUCCAAUCUUCUAACUAAAGUGGGGGGAUUAUUGGGACUUUCUCUAUAAUCUAUCAUGAAGGAAUCCUCAGCGCACCCAGCAUUUUGUCCAGUGCAAUUUCUGGCAAAGGAUCCUUUGGGGGCCCAAUCUAUAAUUAUUCCAUAAGAAUCCUUUUGCAAAACUACUGCACCAUCUGCUACACAGUUGUCCCAAGCAAGAAUCUCUAGUUUUUCUGACCAUUUUGGAUUUCUUUUAGGACAAGCCAGUCCUUGAGAUUUGUAAUUUUUUACUUUUAAAUUUGACCGAAAAUAACCAUCCCCAUAAGUUUUUACAGUCAUGAUAGGUUGGAAAGACAUUCCACUCACUACGUGAUAACUGGGUUGGGAACGAUUAUGAGGAGGUACAUAGAUUAUCCAACUAUGUAUUUGCAAUGGUAAACAUCAAGGAGCAAUUCCUAAACAAAUUGGAGGGUAUUCAUACCAGUUACAUUCAUCAACAUACCCUCCUUCUCAGGCUGUGCAGGACAGCCAUCAUCAAUCGGCCCAGGCAUCCAAAAUACUAUCAUUUGUAUAAACUUCAAUAGGGGAAUCCAUCCAAGUAACUGGCCUAAUUAAAGGAGGAAAUGGAACAGAAGCCAGUAUGUAAAAUUUUCUUCAGUCCAGACAGCAGGGAGACUUACCGCCGCGGUAAUUACCAUCAAGGCAGCCAAGAUCAUAUUACCCGGGAUAAUUGCCAGUUGUUUCUCCUUUAGGCUGCCCUCUGCCAUUUGAGUCAGCU
rnacentral:lncRNA from 1 species